AUGGGAACGCGAAGAACCUUACCUACUCUUGACAUCCAGAGAACUUAGCAGAGAUGCUUUGGUGCCUUCGGGAACUCUGAGACAGGUGCUGCAUGGCUGUCGUCAGCCCGUGUUGUGAAAUGUUGGGUUAAAGUCCCGCAACGAGCGCAACCCUUAUCCUUUGUUGCCAGCGGUUCGGUCGGGAACUCAAAGGAGACUGCCAGUGAUAAACUGGAGGAAGGUGGGGAUGACGUCAAGUCAUCAUGGCCCUUACGAGUAGGGCUACACACGUGCUACAAUGGCGCAUAACAAAGAAGAAGCGACCUCGCGAGAGCAAGCGGACCUCAUAAAGUGCGUCGUAGUCCGGAUUGGAGUCUGCAACU
rnacentral:rRNA from 1 species